GGCGGGGCCGGCGCCUGUCCGGACAAGACCUUGGACGUCCUAGCAUGACCCAACCGGACCUCGCGUCUGUCCCCGGGUGGCCUCUGUCCCCGAGUGACCGCUGCGGAGGAGGCGGCCGCUUGGGAGCAGCCCUCGAAGGCACGUCCGGCCUCCUCCCUCGUUUUGGUCCCACUCCGGUUGGGAUCCCUGUGUUCCGUUUCCCUAAAGGAGCCGUAGGAACCGCCCUGGGGUCCAGGCGGACGGGGAGGGGCGCCUGGCCCUGGGUGCUCGAGGGAACGACCCCAAAACGCAAUCCAAGGACGAGGAACCUGCUCCCUGGAGGAGGCGGCCGAACCCUGGGGAGCGUGCGUCCAGGUUCAUUGCGGUAUGCCGCAGAGGACCGCAGCUUCUUUUCCAAGUUAUCCAUAAUUCCUGGCUUUGUGCAUUUUUUGGCUUAACUGAACCCCAUCUGUUCAUCUGAGGAGAAAGCCAGCUUUCAUGUCAUGAGAACAUUCAGGAAGCCUAUGGAGAACCCUAUGGGAACAGGUCACCAGCCAACAGCUGGUUGACUGAGUGGUGCCCCAGACUGUGUGAGGGAGCUGGGAGGCAUCCUUCCUUGCCUUCAUCACAGAUUUCCUUGCAAUGGCUAACCUGGACCUUGUAAACAGUAUCAUCCCUCCUAGAUACCGUAUGCCACACAAAAUAUGUAGGUGCGUUGGUUCUUCCUUCUAAACCCUUCUCCCUCCCCUGAGAUCUGAGUAAUUGAACCACACGAGAAACUGAUCACAGAGAGCAGAUUGGACAGAGAGGAAAAUGGAAACGUGUGCUGUUUGAAAUUACCGCAGGUCUGAGGUGGCCAAGAGUCACUCCUCCUGGGCUGGCAGGCCCCGCAGGGAGCCUCGCACCAAUUUCCCUCCAGCUCUGCUGCGGCCGAGGCCUUAAUUGAAGACCUGUCCUACUUAGUUCUCUUCAGAGAAACCACGCUCAGUUGUUGGAUGUUUAAAAUCUAGUAAUUCUUCUGGCAUUUAAAGAGCAACACCUCCAUGGGAAGGAAAGCAGCAUGAGGAGGAUCUGCACUCCUGUGCUCAUACCCUAAUAUUCACACCAGCUAAGACAUAGAAACAGGCCAAGGGGUCAUGGUGAAUAGGUGGAUAGGAAAGUUGUGGUAUCUACCUGCAACAGAGUGUUUUUUGGCCCUAAGAGAGGAAGUCCUGCCAUUGACAACCACCUGGAUGAGCCUGGAGGACAUUAUGCUAAGUGAAAUAAGUCUCAGGAAGACAAACACUAUAUGAUCUCAUUUCAGUGUUGCCACCGCUCUCGGAACACAAGUCUUCGGAAAUGUGUCCCGUGAACCCUCUGAGGCUCUUGCCAAGCUCCAGAACGGCUGAGACACACAGAGGGAGAGUGGCUGAAGCACAGGGCCUGUCUGGAGACCCGCAGGG